AUGAACCCGCUGCUCUUAAAGAGGGUCACUCAGCCCUCCCUCUCUCUGCUGCCCCCCUCCAGUGAGGAGUUCCAGCAGGGGAAGGCUACACUGCUGUGCUUGGUCAGUAAGGGCUUUCCCUCAGACUGGACGCUGACUUGGAAGGUGGACGGUAGCAGGUGGAGCUCAGGUGUGGUGGUCAGCCCCGGCGUGCUGCAGCAGGUAAACGGCCUGUACAGCUGGAGCAGCACGCUGACCCUCACUGAGGACCAGUGGAGGAAGACGAGGGUAGUGAGCUGUGAGGUCAGUCACGGCUCCAGCACAGCAGUGAAGAGUCUGAACACACAGCAGUGCACCGAGAACUAA